rnacentral:rRNA from 1 species
UGGAGUGGUUUGGCUGCUUAAUUGCGAUAACGAACGAGACCUCAACCUGUGGGUAGGGUGGUGGUGCGCGAGCACUGUCGGCCUUCACGUGGGACAGACUGGGGUUACCAGUAGGAAGUUUGAGGCAAUAACAGGUCUGUGAUGCCCUUAGAUGUUCUGGGCCGCACGCGCGCUACACUGAUCGGUUCAGCAAGUUUUCAUUCUUUGGAGUGGAGUCCUUGACCGGAAGGUCUGGGUAAUCUGAAAAGGCGAUCGUGAUGGGGCUAGAUUUUUGCAAUUCUUAAUCUCCAACGAGGAACC